ensembl:miRNA MIR144 microRNA 144
GGCUGGGAUAUCAUCGUAUACUGUAAGUUUGUGAUGAGACACUACAGUAUAGAUGAUGUACUAGUC